GCAGAACACCACCCUGAACACCACGCAGUCUGGUAUGAAUUUGGAAGGUGAGUGGUGCUGGGCCUGGUUAGUAUCUGGAUGGAAGACCAACAGGGAAUUCCAAGAAUCUGCC
rnacentral:rRNA from 1 species